rnacentral:misc_RNA from 1 species
ACAACUUCGAAAAAUUCACGGACAGGAGCCUUUCUUCUAUUGCAAAAGGGUGCAAGAAUCUCACAGAUCUUAUUCUCAAUGACUGCCAUUUACUAACUGAUAGAAGCCUUGAAUUUGUAGCUCGUAGCUGCAAAAAAUUAGCACGCCUGAAGAUCAAUGGUUGUCAGAAUAUGGAAACUGCUGCACUGGAGCACAUUGGACGUUGGUGCCCG